CACGUAGUUAGCCGAGGCUUAUUCCUAAGGUACCGUCACUUUCUUCUUCCCUUAGAAAAGAACUUUACAAUCCGAAGACCUUCAUCAUUCACGCGGCGUUGCUGGGUCAGAGUUGCCUCCAUUGCCCAAUAUUCCCCACUGCUGCCUCCCGUAGGAGUUUGGACCGUGUCUCAGUUCCAAUGUGGCCGAUCACCCUCUCAGGUCGGCUACUGAUCGUCGCCUUGGUGAGCCGUUACCUCACCAACUAGCUAAUCAGACGCGAGCUCAUCCAUAUCCGAUAAAUCUUUGAUGGUAAGAAGAUGCCUUCAAACCAUAUUAUGCGGUAUUAUCAGUCGUUUCCAACUGUUAUCCCCCAGACAUGGGCAGAUUGCUCACGCGUUACUCACCCGUCCGCCAUGUAUUGCUACAUUCGACUUGCAUGUGUUAAGCACGCCGCCAGCGUUCAUCCUGAGCCAGGAUCAAACUCU
rnacentral:rRNA from 1 species